GAUGAAGAACGCAGCGAAAUGCGAUAAGUAAUGUGAAUUGCAGAAUUCAGUGAAUCAUCGAAUCUUUGAACGCACAUUGCGCCCGUCAGUAUUCUGGCGGGCAUGCCUGUUCGAGCGUCAUUACGCCCCUCAAGUCCCCUGUGGACUUGGUGUUGGGGAUCGGCGAGGCUGGUUUUCCAGCACAGCAGUCCCUUAAAUUAAUUGGCGGUCUCGCCGUGGCCCUCCUCUGCGCAGUAGUAAAACACUCGCAACAGGAGCCCGGCGCGGUCCACUGCCGUAAAACCCCCCAACUUUUUAUAGUUGACCUCGAAUCAGGUAGGACUACCCGCUGAACUUAAGCAUAUCAAUAAGCGGAGGA
rnacentral:misc_RNA from 1 species